UGGAAUCAAAUCAUUUAUUUCAGUCAUAGACCAGCACAAUGGAAUCAAACUGAGCAGAGGUUAGUUGGAAGGAGCAUCCAGUGGUCUAGGGGAUAAAAGCCUCAUGACUUGAAGAUUGGCUUGCUGACCUCAAAGUUGCCAGGUUCGAAUCCCACCCGGGGAGAGUGCGGAUGAGCUCCCUCUAUUAGCUCCAGCUCUAU
rnacentral:lncRNA from 11 species